GUUUGACAAUGAAUCAGGCCUUUUUGGCUCAGGAUUUAGAAUAUUGCAAGGUACUUUGAAGAGGGCAACAAAAGGAAGAGUCAAAAGCUGCACCUACAAAACACUUAGGCAGUGGCUGUUCAUCUGUCAGGUAGAAGGAGUGAGAGGAAAUUCAUUUCAAAAUGCUCCAAUAUUUUUACUAACUUUCACUUUUUUUUCUAGGUACAGUUUAAAGGAUUGCAUUUGAUCUGGUUCUACAGAGGAUUAAAAGAGGAUUAAGAGGAUGAACAAGCAGUCCAGUAUUGGUGUAUUUGGGUUAACAAUAUCAGACAGCAUCUCCUUUACCUCGAAUGCUUUUGUUUGGACACAAUAGAACAGCAUGGAAACAGAGCAGUAUGUUCAGUAUUGCGCAUAAAGGAUGGAAGAGGCUUCAACCGCAGUUCUUUAAAGCAGGAGGUGGUAAUGGCUUUAACAGCUAUGGCAUGAGAGCACAGUGUGCCAGGGAAAGGUCACUGCUUCCAGAACUGCAUCAGAAAAUCAUGCUUUUACUUGUACUAUCUGGUUUUUCCAGAGGAAGGUGGACAAUCCAAUCAGGGAAGCAGACAGCUCAUAUUAAUAAGGAUCAGGUUUGCCCUGGAUGUGAAGAUUGCAAGAGAAAAACUAAAAACUAUAUAUAACGCUAACAUAUAAUAUUGUACAAUUAUUAUUGUAUUGUAUGGUAAUAUUAUCAUUGUCAUAAUAAUUAUUAUUAUCAUUAUUAUAAUUAUCAUUAUAUUAUAAACAGACAAACUGUAUAUAAUGCUAAUAUAUUAAUGUGUUAAUAUUAUCAUGAAAUAUAC
rnacentral:lncRNA from 1 species